AACGUAGGUAACCUGCCCCGGAGCGGGGGAUAACAUUUGGAAACAGAUGCUAAUACCGCAUAACAAUAAAAGCCGCAUGGCUUUUAUUUGAAAGAUGGCUUUGGCUAUCACUCUGGGAUGGACCUGCGGUGCAUUAGCUAGUUGGUAAGGUAACGGCUUACCAAGGCGAUGAUGCAUAGCCGAGUUGAGAGACUGGUCGGCCACAAUGGAACUGAGACACGGUCCAUACUCCUACGGGAGGCAGCAG
rnacentral:rRNA from 1 species